rnacentral:rRNA from 2 species
CUACUCCUACGGGAGGCAGCAGUAGGGAAUCUUCCGCAAUGGACGAAAGUCUGACGGAGCAACGCCGCGUGAGUGAUGAAGGCUUUCGGGUCGUAAAACUCUGUUGUUAGGGAAGAACAAGUACGAGAGUAACUGCUCGUACCUUGACGGUACCUAACCAGAAAGCCACGGCUAACUACGUGCCAGCAGCCGCGGUAAUACGUAGGUGGCAAGCGUUAUCCGGAAUUAUUGGGCGUAAAGCGCGCGCAGGCGGUUUCUUAAGUCUGAUGUGAAAGCCCACGGCUCAACCGUGGAGGGUCAUUGGAAACUGGGGAACUGAGGCAGAAGAGAAAGCGAAUACUUCC